rnacentral:tRNA from 1 species
GUCUCCGUAGCUCAGCUGGAUAGAGUGUCUCCCUCCUAAGGAGAAAGUCGCAGGUUCGAAUCCUGCCGGGGACACCA